rnacentral:lncRNA from 1 species
GAAGUGUCCAGAAUAGAAUCACAUUCAAUAAAUAUCUGCUAAGUAAGUGUUGAAUUAGUGCUCCCAAUGUCUGGUAAUGGGGCUUUCUACAUCAACCACUUUUCUUGACUGAUGCUUCUCUCGGGCAAACCCAGAUAUUUUUGAGUAAGGGGUCACUGGACUCUGCUUACAUACCUUCAGUGAAAGGGAGCUCAUUCACUACUUUUCCAAUAAUUUGCCUCAUUUUGGGCUACCUCUGACUGCGGUGCAGGGACUGCCAAGUGUCCACCCAGAGUUUCAUUUAUAGCUUACAACAAACUUGAGAUAGAUAAAAUCACUAACUUUUUAACAGGAGGAAAAAAGAGACUCAGUUGUCAUACAUAACCUCUGCCUGAGCCUGUUUAGCCUCUGUCAUUCCCCACUGAUUUCAGCACCAGAACCUUCCAACUGUCCUCUGUGGCAGACCUUUUUACAACCUCCACCCAACUCUCUGAUGCCCAAAUACCAACCUGAGAAUUCCUAUACUUUACAUGUUGGGACCUCAAAUGCUUUUGAGGCUUUUACAUGACUCUUAAACAUCUGAAUCUCUUAGGCGUUGAGUUUCCCCAUCUGGCUAUUCUUCUGCAGGUGACCCUAGGAACCGUCUGUAUUCCCACUGUACUUGGCCUUAUCCUUCCCACCCCUGAUGGUAUCACUGAGAAAAUACACCUCAUUCCCCAAGCCCACGCUAAAAACAGAAAGGGUUAGAAAGAUGGUUUUUUGUUUUUUGUUUGUUUGUUUUAGAGAUAAAGUCUCACUCUGUCGCCCAGGCUGGAGUGCAGUGGUGCAAUCAUGGCUCA